CUUAUGUCGUAACUACAAUCCCCUUCCCUUUCAUGAAUGUGACCUACCGAAUUAGACUUUUUACCGGAUUUGUUAUGACAUGAGCAACACGACGGGUGCCACAUGUGGAGCAGGAUCUGAUUACCCUUCCAGGGCAAAUGAGAUUACCCCUAGUUUUUGGUGGGGUUCAUGUUGUUUUUUCUUUAGUUUUCUUUUUUAGCAAUGGCCUUGUCAGUUUAUUUUCGAUUUAUGAGUUUGACUGUCCCUUUGGUAUCUUUCAUCCCUCCUUUUCUAAAGGAUUUUUUUUUGCAUUUUAUGCAAUCUUUACCCUCAAAAUUAGUUUUCUCUAUAUACAUGAUUUAAAAGCAUUUUUAUACAGAAGAUGUGGUAUUAGUGCUAAUGAGACAACUCAACAAUGUAUAAAAAGUUAACAAUU
rnacentral:lncRNA from 1 species